UACGUAGGGAGCAAGCGUUGUUCGGAUUUACUGGGCGUAAAGGGCGCGUAGGCGGCGCGGUAAGUCACUUGUGGAAAUCUCUGAGCUUAACUCAGAACGGCCAAGUGAUACUGCAGUGCUAGAGUGCAGAAGGGGCAAUCGGAAUUCUUGGUGUAGCGGUGAAAUGCGUAGAUAUCAAGAGGAACACCUGAGGUGAAGACGGGUUGCUAGGCUGACACUGACGCUGAGGCGCGAAAGCCAGGGGAGCAAACGGG
rnacentral:rRNA from 1 species